CCUACGGAGAGCUGCAGUGGGGAAUAUUGGACAAUGGGCGAAAGCCUGAUCCAGCCAUGCCGCGUGUGUGAAGAAGGCCUUCUGGUUGUAAAGCACUUUCAGUGGGGAAGAAAGCCUUGGGGCUAAUACCCUCGAGGAAGGACAUCACCCACAGAAGAAGCACCGGCUAACUCCGUGCCAGCAGCCGCGGUAAUACGGAGGGUGCGAGCGUUAAUCGGAAUUACUGGGCGUAAAGCGCGCGUAGGCGGUCUGAUAAGCCGGUUGUGAAAGCCCCGGGCUCAACCUGGGAACGGCAUCCGGAACUGUCAGGCUAGAGUGCAGGAGAGGAAGGUAGAAUUCCCGGUGUAGCGGUGAAAUGCGUAGAGAUCGGGAGGAAUACCAGUGGCGAAGGCGGCCUUCUGGACUGACACUGACGCUGAGGUGCGAAAGCGUGGGUAGCAAACAGGAUUAGAUACCCCGGUAGUC
rnacentral:rRNA from 1 species